AUUUAGAUAGCUUAAGUUCAAGCAUAGUAUUGAAGAUACUAAGAUGGUUUGUAAACCUUUAGAUA
rnacentral:tRNA from 1 species